AUAUAGAUAUGUAUGUACAUAUGUAUGUAUGUACGUAUGCAUGUGUGUAUGUUUGUAUACAUAAACUCAUUCAAGAAAGUUUGUACCUAUCAUACCAUACCAUAUACAUACAUAUGUAAAUAUGCAUUUGUGUACGUACACAUGUGGAGUUUUGCAGUGUGCAGUUGUACAGUGAAAUUCCCCAUAGUCGGACACCCACUGUCACAGUUUUUCUGUCCAGUUAUUGGACCGUCCGGCUGUGGUAUCUAUUAUGUACGGUAUUAUAUGUGAAUGUAAUUUUGUGUGGAGAAAUUUUGUUGUCGACCAAUUUUGUCUCCACGAAAUAAACUCAACUCAACAUCUUGAACGAACACAGGCACAUAUUCACAAAUAAAUGUAGAAAAAGCCACAGCAAACACAUGCAUAAAUAUGUCGAUAUGUACAUACAUACAUAUGUAGCAUACAUUUUUAAUGUCACGUAUUGCUGUUUAAUUUCUGCUCUUUUUCGGGUGCCCUACAACUCUCUCACACUCUCACUCACAGUCAAGCACACACACACACGCGUUCUGUCGAGCAGUAGCCGUAAGAGUCCGCGUCGUCUUCAUCAGCAACUUAAUUAUUAAAUUAAAUGCGCUAAAUGGCAGCACACGCAAGUGCUAAUAAAACAAAAUACGAAAAUAAAGAAGAAAAACCAAAGCAAAACACACGCAAAAUCGAAUGGAGUGGGAAGAGGAAGGGAGGAGUGAGUAGUAAGCGCCACAUGCUGCUUACAACCUUGUCCGUUAAGAGGCCGCUGUGGCGUGGCCCGUCUCCUUCCCUGUCACCACACCGAUCCAAUCCACUCCCACUCGCGCCCACACACUCUUAAGCAACUGAACGAACCCUUCGCAAAUCAAAUAAAAUGAUACGCUCUCCUCUCGCUGGCUCUCUCUCUCUCUCUCUCUCUUUUCUUCUUUCUUUGCGUCAACCCCGCCACUCUUUGUCUGAAUAUGCGCGGUGUUUUUACUGCUCUUUGGCUCUGCCUUUGGUGCUCGUUUUUUGCUGCUCUUUGGCUUUGACUCUGCCUCUGCCUUUGGCGCUGCUCAAUUUUCAUUGCCUUGGCUUGGCAGCCAGCCUGCCUGACUGACUUUUUCCCAUCUUCAAUGCUUUUUUAUGGCUUUAAUGGCCAUAAAGCCGCUUUUAGCCGCCAGCUGUUGGCUGUGUGUUGGCCUGACGCUGCCCCUUCUUCACACUCCGCACCAAACCCGAACCGAAGACGAUGAUGUCUGGCAACAACAGCAGCAACACGAAGAUGCCACAAACUCAAAAACACACACAGACACAUGCCUGGGCACUCAGUUGCAGUCCGCGCUCCACCAACUGCGAAUGAGUCUUUAUGGCCACUUGCUCAUAGAUUCCUCACCCUGCCACUAUUUGUAAUCGAUUGCCGGCUACCAUUUACCCCUGGGUGAUCGAUGGAACCGUCGAAAUUGGAAUGGAAUUGAAGAACAACUAUAAUCGCACACCCAAAACAGGACAAUACAACGGAAAUCUGCACAAAAAAUUUGAUUCUUCUAGCGUACAACUCACUCUUGCAUACAUUCAUAUGUACAUAUGUAUGUAUGUAGAUAUGUAUGAAUGCAUGUGCAUAUGGAUGUGUAAAAUGCAUUUUUUAUUUCCUUUCAAAAUUCGCUUAAGAACAAUCUUAGCUAAAAAAUGUUCAACGUAAAUGAGUAACGUCGCGCCGAAUACUUCGGGCCGGUUUUUUUACACUUAAACACUUGGAAAAUUAACAUUAAAUAUUUUAUAUAUGUACGUAUAGUCUGGACCGAUUCGAAAAUUGUUUGAGUAAUUUACGUCCAAAACCCACUUUGUUUUUUGAACCGUCACGUACAUACAUAUGUACAUACAUACAUAUGUACCAUCUCUAAAACCGUAAGUUUGAUUGUUAUACUUACUGACUAUGGGGCUACUUAAAUACUAUGCGAAUAGGAUAUAAAAAUAUUAUGUAUGUUUAUAUGUAGGUACAUAUGCUUACAUCCAUAGUAUGUAUGGAUAUGUAUUAAUAUCUGAACAGCAAUAUCUUAAGGUGUAUUACAAGUUGAAUAGAACUCGUACAUAUUUACAUACUUAUUGACAUAUAUACAUAUGUACAUAUUUACUUUCGUCUCUAAACCGUUUAUUAAAGAUAAUCCAAGCGGUGGAUUGCCCACAUUUUUUGUAUUUUGAUACUGGAGGAAGGUGUCUACAAACUAUGCAGACACGCACACACGCAAAGACAGUAACGCAGUGCGUGGGGCACCUAGUCCCAACAGUUCACCUGUAGUUGUUAAGUAUAUCAUAGAGACAAAUAAAUGAAUAUACAUAUGUAUGUACAUAAAUAAAAACGCAAAGACAGACAGAGGGCACAGGUAUGCACAUUUUUUCGUAUUCUAUAGGCCAGGGGGGGCCUCCGCUCCGCAAGCAUACAAACAUCAAAGUAGUGCGGGAACGAAGAAGGAAGAGAACGGCAUAGAACACAGCAAAGAGAGAAAAAACCAGACGCGACGUUGAGUUACGGCACAUGUGCCACAACAUUAUUAAUACCCAGUACUUCGUCAGUAAAUACAUACAAUAUACAAUAUACUUCUGUACAUACUACUGUAUAAGUAAUUAUACGAAAACACCAAAAUUGUCUCUCUCUCUCUAUCUGUCUUUUGGUGUCGCCGUUCGAAAAAGGGACAGAUUGAU